UGCGCAAGUCAUUGGGACUUAAAGCGAAACCUAAAGGCAAAAUGAAAGUGAAUAUACGUGCGCGUGUACCACUCGUGGUGCGCGCACACAGAGGGAGGAUGGGCCGGCCCACAGUUGGCCGGCUCCGCACUCCCAGGGCGUCUCGAGUUCAAUGCGAAUGAGGCGCACCUAGAGCGUACACGCUGGGACCCGAAAGAUGGUGAACUAUGCCUGGUCAGGACGAAGUCAGGGGAAACCCUGAUGGAGGUCCGUAGCGAUUCUGACGUGCAAAUCGAUCGUCGGAACUGGGUAUAGGGGCGAAAGACUAAUCGAACCAUCUAGUAGCUGGUUCCCUCCGAAGUUUCCCUCAGGAUAGCUGGCGCUCAAAUAUGGCGGACAGUCCCUAUACGGGACGCGCAAACUAAAGAGUUUCUUCCGGUAAAGCGAAUGAUUAGAGGCAUUGGGGUCGAAACGACCUCAACCUAUUCUCAAACUUUAAAUGGGUGAGAUCUCCGGCUUACUUGAUAAUAUAUAUAUAUGGCAUAAUAAUGAAAUGUAUGUGA
rnacentral:rRNA from 1 species